AUGAUGUUCCCCAAGUUUUGGAACUCCAUCCCAUAUCGAUUGGUCCAUGAAAUUGGACAAUUCAGGUUCGUACGACGUUCGUACUAAAAUGGAGUGGUUGGUGUAUUGGAUAGUGGUAGAGAUUGGAUUUUACUCAAAACCGACCAAAUGACUCCUCCCACCAUAUUAUGAUGUCCCCAAAGUUUAGUACUCAAUCCGAUAUCGAUUGGUUCAUGAAAUUGUACAAUUCAGGUUUGUACGAAGUUUGCC
rnacentral:lncRNA from 1 species